CCUGAGAAACGGCUACCACAUCUAAGGAAGGCAGCAGGCACGUAAAUUACCCAAUCCCAGCACGGGGAGGUAGUGACGAAAAAUAACAAUCCGGAACUCAAACGAGUUUCCGAAAUUGGAAUGAGUACAAUUUAAAAACUUUAACGAGGAGCAAAUGGAGGGCAAGUCUGGUGCCAGCAGCCGCGGUAAUUCCAGCUCCAUUAGUAUAUAUUAAAGUUGUUGCGGUUAAAAAGCUCGUAGUCGAUUUUGUAUCUCGUACUUUCGAAUUCCCGCGAUUUUAUUCGUGUGGUUUUUGUUAUUUAAUUGUACGAGAUAUAUAGACUGGUGGAUGUUUAGAAAUCGUUUGCUUAUAGACGACGGACAUCUGUUCGCGCUAUUCAUCGAUUUCGAUAUUCAAUACGAUGGGUUUAGGAUUUAAUUUCGCAGCAGUGUAAAAUGUUUCAAUUACGUUACUAUUUUCGCUGUUUGUGAAAUGCUUAAAUUCGAUUGUAUUCUAAACUAUGAAGAAAGCGUUGCGGUCAGAGAUGCAAUUUCGUAAAAAGAAUUCGGUUGUCGCGCUCGUUUUCGGCUUGUCGGGCCGGCGAAAUUACUUUGAACAAAUUAGAGUGCUUAAAGCAGGCAAAUUUAUAUGCCUUGAAUAUCGCAGCAUGGAAUAAUAGAAUAUGAUCUCGGUACCGUUUGUUUAAUGUUUUUCUUAUCUUCGGAUAGAAAGGCAAUUUUCGUUUGAUGAAAUGCGUAAGCGUAUUGUGAGGCGAAAUGAAAUUGGCUUAAAGUGGCAAAGUUGGGAAAUCUUAAAUGAUUUUCUUUUUGUCCACGACAGUAUAUCGAGAUAAUGAUUAAUAGAGACGGAUGGGGGCAUUCGUACUACGACGCUAGAGGUGAAAUUCUUGGACCGUCGUAAGACGAACUGAAGCGAAAGCGUUUGUCAAAAACGUUUUCAUUGAUCAAGAACGAAAGUUAGAGGUUCGAAGGCGAUCAGAUACCGCCCUAGUUCUAACCAUAAACGAUGCCGACCAGCGAUCCGYCGAUGUUCAUUUAAAUUGACUCGACGGGCAGCUUCCGGGAAACCAAAGUUUUUGGGUUCCGGGGGAAGUAUGGUUGCAAAGCUGAAACUUAAAGGAAUUGACGGAAGGGUACCACCAGGAGUGGAGCUUGCGGCUUAAUUUGACUCAACACGGGAAACCUCACCAGGUCAGGACACUGAUAGGAUUGACAGAUUGAUAGCUCUUUCUUGAUUCAGUGGGUGGUGGUGCAUGGCCGUUCUUAGUUGGUGGAGCGAUUUGUCUGGUUAAUUCCGAUAACGAACGAGACUC
rnacentral:rRNA from 1 species